rnacentral:rRNA from 1 species
GGGUUGUGAGGUUAAGCGACUAAGCGUACACGGUGGAUGCCCUGGCAGUCAGAGGCGAUGAAGGACGUGCUAAUCUGCGAAAAGCGCCGGCGAGGUGAUAUGAACCUUUGACCCGGCGAUGUCCGAAUGGGGAAACCCAGUGUGUUCCGACACACUAUCGUUAACUGAAUACAUAGGUUAACGAGGCGAACCGGGGGAACUGAAACAUCUAAGUACCCCGAGGAAAAGAAAUCAACCGAGAUUCCCCCAGUAGCGGCGAGCGAACGGGGAGCAGCCCAGAGUCUGAAUCAGCUUGUGUGUUAGUGGAAGCGUCUGGAAAGUCGCACGGUACAGGGUGACAGUCCCGUACACGAAAGCACACAGGCUGUGAACUCGAAGAGUAGGGCGGGACACGUGGUAUCCUGUCUGAAUAUGGGGGGACCAUCCUCCAAGGCUAAAUACUCCUGACUGACCGAUAGUGAACCAGUACCGUGAGGGAAAGGCGAAAAGAACCCCGGCGAGGGGAGUGAAAAAGAACCUGAAACCGUGUACGUACAAGCAGUGGGAGCACCUUCGUGGUGUGACUGCGUACCUUUUGUAUAAUGGGUCAGCGACUUAUAUUCUGUAGCAAGGUUAACCGUAUAGGGGAGCCGAAGGGAAACCGAGUCUUAACUGGGCGUUAAGUUGCAGGGUAUAGACCCGAAACCCGGUGAUCUAGCCAUGGGCAGGUUGAAGGUUGGGUAACACUAACUGGAGGACCGAACCGACUAAUGUUGAAAAAUUAGCGGAUGACUUGUGGCUGGGGGUGAAAGGCCAAUCAAACCGGGAGAUAGCUGGUUCUCCCCGAAAGCUAUUUAGGUAGCGCCUCGUGAACUCAUCUUCGGGGGUAGAGCACUGUUUCGGCUAGGGGGCCAUCCCGGCUUACCAACCCGAUGCAAACUACGAAUACCGAAGAAUGUUAUCACGGGAGACACACGGCGGGUGCUAACGUCCGUCGUGAAGAGGGAAACAACCCAGACCGCCAGCUAAGGUCCCAAAGUCAUGGUUAAGUGGGAAACGAUGUGGGAAGGCACAGACAGCCAGGAUGUUGGCUUAGAAGCAGCCAUCAUUUAAAGAAAGCGUAAUAGCUCACUGGUCGAGUCGGCCUGCGCGGAAGAUGUAACGGGGCUAAACCAUGCACCGAAGCUGCGGCAGCGACACUAUGUGUUGUUGGGUAGGGGAGCGUUCUGUAAGCCGUUGAAGGUGUGCUGUGAGGCAUGCUGGAGGUAUCAGAAGUGCGAAUGCUGACAUAAGUAACGAUAAAGCGGGUGAAAAGCCCGCUCGCCGGAAGACCAAGGGUUCCUGUCCAACGUUAAUCGGGGCAGGGUGAGUCGACCCCUAAGGCGAGGCCGAAAGGCGUAGUCGAUGGGAAACAGGUUAAUAUUCCUGUACUUGGUGUUACUGCGAAGGGGGGACGGAGAAGGCUAUGUUAGCCGGGCGACGGUUGUCCCGGUUUAAGCAUGUAGGCGGAACGAUUAGGUAAAUCCGGUCGUUUUUUAACGCUGAGGUGUGAUGACGAGGCACUACGGUGCUGAAGUAACAAAUGCCCUGCUUCCAGGAAAAGCCUCUAAGCAUCAGGUAACAUCAAAUCGUACCCCAAACCGACACAGGUGGUCAGGUAGAGAAUACCAAGGCGCUUGAGAGAACUCGGGUGAAGGAACUAGGCAAAAUGGUGCCGUAACUUCGGGAGAAGGCACGCUGAUAUGUAGGUGAAGCCCCUGCGGGUGGAGCUGAAAUCAGUCGAAGAUACCAGCUGGCUGCAACUGUUUAUUAAAAACACAGCACUGUGCAAACACGAAAGUGGACGUAUACGGUGUGACGCCUGCCCGGUGCCGGAAGGUUAAUUGAUGGGGUUAGCGGCAACGCGAAGCUCUUGAUCGAAGCCCCGGUAAACGGCGGCCGUAACUAUAACGGUCCUAAGGUAGCGAAAUUCCUUGUCGGGUAAGUUCCGACCUGCACGAAUGGCGUAAUGAUGGCCAGGCUGUCUCCACCCGAGACUCAGUGAAAUUGAACUCGCUGUGAAGAUGCAGUGUACCCGCGGCAAGACGGAAAGACCCCGUGAACCUUUACUAUAGCUUGACACUGAACACUGGUCCUUGAUGUGUAGGAUAGGUGGGAGGCUUUGAAGUGUGGACGCCAGUCUGCAUGGAGCCGUCCUUGAAAUACCACCCUUUAAUGGCUGGUGUUCUAACGUAGACCCGUGAUCCGGGUUGCGGACAGUGUCUGGUGGGUAGUUUGACUGGGGCGGUCUCCUCCCAAAGAGUAACGGAGGAGCACGAAGGUUAGCUAAUCCUGGUCGGACAUCAGGAGGUUAGUGCAAUGGCAUAAGCUAGCUUGACUGCGAGAGUGACGGCUCGAGCAGGUGCGAAAGCAGGUCAUAGUGAUCCGGUGGUUCUGAAUGGAAGGGCCAUCGCUCAACGGAUAAAAGGUACUCCGGGGAUAACAGGCUGAUACCGCCCAAGAGUUCAUAUCGACGGCGGUGUUUGGCACCUCGAUGUCGGCUCAUCACAUCCUGGGGCUGAAGUAGGUCCCAAGGGUAUGGCUGUUCGCCAUUUAAAGUGGUACGCGAGCUGGGUUUAGAACGUCGUGAGACAGUUCGGUCCCUAUCUGCCGUGGGCGCUGGAGAAUUGAGGGGGGCUGCUCCUAGUACGAGAGGACCGGAGUGGACGCAUCACUGGUGUUCGGGUUGUCAUGCCAAUGGCACUGCCCGGUAGCUAAAUGCGGAAAAGAUAAGUGCUGAAAGCAUCUAAGCACGAAACUUGCCCCGAGAUGAGUUCUCCCUGAGACUUUAAGUCUCCUGAAGGAACGUUGAAGACGACGACGUUGAUAGGUCGGGUGUGUAAGCGCAGCGAUGCGUUGAGCUAACCGAUACUAAUGAACCGUGAGGCUUAACCUUACAACGCCGAAG